CCCUUAGAUGUUCUGGGCUGCACGCGCGCUACACUGAUGCACUCAACGAGUUUACGACCUUGCCCGAUAGGGUUGGGUAAUCUUUUUAAAAUGCAUCGUGAUGGGGAUAGAUUAUUGCAAUUAUUAAUCUUCAACGAGGAAUUCCUAGUAAGCGCGAGUCAUCAGCUCGUGCUGAUUACGUCCCUGCCCUUUGUACACACCGCCCGUCGCUCCUACCGAUUGAGUGCUCAGGUGAAUAAUUCGGACUGCAGCAAUGUUUGGAUCCCGAACGUUGCAGCGGAAAGUUUAGUGAACCUUNUNACUUAGNGGAAGGAGAANUCGUANCA
rnacentral:rRNA from 1 species